GCUGCUGCCGGCUGCCUCUCCUCUAGCUCACAGUUACUUACUGACUGUAAACAAGCAUGACGGUUGAUACGCGCUGCGAUUGCAUCAUCAUUGUUAGCCGAUUAUUUCGCCCUGAUUUCGGUUGCAUUUCGGCAAAUCGACAACAUCAACAGAUACUUGGACGGAUGGUCGAUGUUCCUGAUAUUCCGAAAGGCUUCUACCGCAUCCCGCCCUGAUGUCCUGGUUGGAAAUAGCUGCCUGUACACGAUGGCCAUCCGGUUAUAAGCCUGGAAAACUUAACUAAACAUCGCCCGCAGAUUAUCCAGAGUUGUGUGCUGUUGGUUCGAUUUGCUUUUGCUACCGACAUGGAAUGCGCUGGGACUAUGAACUCCUGCAGAGAUGAAAAGCAACGAACCCACAUGUUUUUGCAGGAAGCGCGCUGGACGACAUUGGUAUAGGGAUAAUUUGUGGUAAUCUUUGUAUGUUUAAUGGCUAUAUUUUAUGAUAAAUUUUGUGUUUAUACCUUGAAAAUUAAUUUUAACAAAGUUCAAUUUGCUGCUUAAAUACUUCAAUUUUCUAUUGUUAUGUUUGUAACAACUAUAAUAUUAUCCCAUAACUAUUUUUGUGUUUUGUGAUUUAGUUUGGGAUUGCGGCAUAUUUUUUAGUUUAAGUUGGCUUCCUCUUGAAGAAGAUUUUAUUAUAAUUUCCAAGACAGUUAGCUAUUGUGGCAACUAAAAUUUAAAAUCAAUUACUUAUUGUCAGAUAAUCAUCGUGGGUUUAAAGUUUAAAAUUGCAAAAGCCUUAAAGUUUUGAAAUCAAAAACAACAGAUGAGCCACCACAUACUGAUUUUAAUUGCACUGUGGUUUUUAUUAAAUACUGUUACCGUGCCUUCUUGACUGAAAAUAAUUAAUUUUAAUGUGCUGAAAACCAUAACCAGUUCAACCAAUUACCCUAGAACCAUCAACAGAUUGAAAAUAUAUAUAAUCAGGUUUAGACAAUGGAUGGUUUUGGUUUCCAGCACAUCAAAUAGAAUUAUUUUAAGGGUUGAAUGCACAGCAUCAGGAAUCUUUUUAAAAUCAAAAGUAACAGCUGGCAGCCAAGGGGAAUUCACAGCUUCUGGUGAACUCGUACAAUUUAUAUAAUCAUCCAACAUUAUUUUUGCUUUGUUGCUGCAUCACCUCAUAAAUUAAUGUGUUAUUAUAGUUUUAUUAACUUGUAAGUGUGCAGUUCUUCAAAGUCUAUUGUACUUGAUUUUUGGUUUUGAAAAAUUGUUCUUUACAUUAUUUAUUAAUUUAUUUAUUAUUUGUUUUUGCUUAUUCCGUUAUUGAAGGUGGAAUGUAACUUAACUGUAUUGAGGUAUCACCUUGGGAUUUUCGCUGCCAAACCCAGAUUUCGAUCCUGAAAAACUUAUUUUUCCAUAAAUUUGCAAUUUGAAGGUCAAGGUCACCUUUCUCGACCUUAAGGGAUGAUGGCCUCCUUAGAUUUUUCAGGGUUCAAGCCUGAAAUGUAGCCCGUGAAAAUCUGAACAAGCAGUUCAAGUUUCUGAGGUGCAAAAAUAGUUUGUCAUAAUUUGAAAAAUAAAGUUUGAAUUAGGCUCGAUGCCGCUCGAUCGAGCACGGCCUUUAGUCGGCGAGUUCGCCUAUCAUUUGUCGAUAAUAUUUUUACCCAUUCCAUUUGAUUAGGCACAACAAGAGGACCAAGAAUUGACAUAGUAAGGUCAAAAUCGACCUUCAGGGUCUGACCCUGACCAGACCCUGAGAUAAUAAUUUAGAAAAUGUCCAAUUUCAUCAAGAAUGGUGUCUUUUUAUAGGUUUUCUCUCCGCUGCACAGCUCAAACAUACAGCCAAAACUGCCGAAUGACAAUCCUGAAACCGGUUCUUGAAAUAAUUGUGGAAGCCAUUAAUCCUGACGUGAUGUUAAUUGUUAUUAAAAUUGAAAAUCGGCAGUUUUGGCUUUAUAUUAGAGCUGCAGAGCCUAUGGAAAGACACUAAGUUUGAUGAAAUUGAGUUUUUUUUUAAUUUUUAUCUCAGGGUCUCGUCAGGCACAGACCCUGAAGGUCGAUUUCAACCUUACUAUGUCUACCCUGGGCCCUCUUGUUGUGUCUAAUCUAAUGGUAUAUGUAAAAAUAGUCUCGACAAAUGAUAGGUGAACUCGAAGACUAAAGGCAUGCUCGACCGAGCGGCCUCGAGCAGGUUUUUAAUUUUCAAAUUAAAAUAUGCAGCAAAACUAUUGUUGCACCUUUGAAACUUGGUGAGCUUGUGCAGAAUUUCAAGGGCUACAAUUCAGCCCUGAACCCCAAAAAGAUCUAAGGGUUGUAUCAUACCUUGAUUUUUAAUUUUCGAGUAAAGGUCGCAAAAGGUGACCUUCAACUUUGCCCUGCGAAUUUUUUGUAGGUUGAUAAGUUGUUCAUGGUAGAAAACUAGGAUAGACAAUGAAAAUUUCAAGGUGAUAACUUAACCCAGUAAAGAGUUACAUUCCACCCUUCAUUCACAUUAUUUGAUUUUCGGGGAUUUUUAAAAAUAGGGAUCUUUAAAUUUGAUGUAUAAAAUGUAUUAUUUAAUUGUACGUUAAUUGUUGUAUGAAUAUCAUCCAAUAAAAGUGCUGCCCAUCUAGCUGCCCACUGAAGGUAACCGCAGGCGGGCACCAAAUGGUUACCUUUUGGCUACCUCUUACCUCGGGCUGUCAUUUUGCGCUAUACUGAAAUUUAUCUUUUUAAUGGACAGAGUCAAUUGACCUGCCACCAGUGCCACCUGACAGCCCUAGAUAAAAGGUAGCCAAAAGGUAACCAAUGGCUGCCCACUGGUGGUAACCUCAGCCGGGCACCCGAUGGUUAGCUUUUGGUCAA